UCCAGGGUAGCCUAGUGGACAUGGCAUCUGCCCGGUAAACGGAACACUGUGGGUUCGAUUCCCAUCUCUGGAA
rnacentral:tRNA from 1 species